rnacentral:rRNA from 1 species
CGGGACGGGUGGGUAAUGUCUGGGAAACUGCCUGAUGGAGGGGGAUAACUACUGGAAACGGUAGCUAAUACCGCAUAACGUCGCAAGACCAAAGAGGGGGACCGUUCGGGCCUCUUGCCAUCGGAUGUGCCCAGAUGGGAUUAGCUAGUAGGUGGGGUAACGGCUCACCUAGGCGACGAUCCCUAGCUGGUCUGAGAGGAUGACCAGCCACACUGGAACUGAGACACGGUCCAG